rnacentral:rRNA from 1 species
GACGAACGCUGGCGGCGUGCUUAACACAUGCCAGUCGAACGGAAAGGCCCUGCUUUUGUGUCUUGCUCGAUUGCGGCACGGGUGAGAAACACGUGAGUAACCUCUCCUUGACUGUGGGAUAACUUCUGGAAACUGGGGCUAAUACCCGAUAUGAGCUCCUGCUGCGUGGUGGGCGUUGGAAAGUUUCGGCGGUUGGGGAUGGACUCGCGGCUUAUCAGCUUGUUUGUCGGGUAGGUGCUUACAAAGGCUAUGACGGGUAGGCGGCCUGGGAGGGUGGCCGGCCACAAUGGGACUGAGGGACGGCGCAGAAUGCAACGUGAGGCAGCAGUGGAGAAUAUUGCACAGUGGGCCGAAGCGUGAUGCAGCAACGCCGCGUGCGGGAUGACGGCCUUCGGGGGGUAAACAGCUUUCGCAUGUGACGAAGCGUGAGUGACGGUAAUGGGUAAAGAAGCACCGGCUAACUACGUG